rnacentral:tRNA from 1 species
UAGCUCAGUCAGUAAAGAGUCUGCCUUCAAUGCAGGAGACCCGGGUUCGAUUCCUGG